AACGAACGCUGGCGGCAGGCUUAACACAUGCAAGUCGAACGCCCCCGCAAGGGGGAGUGGCAGACGGGUGAGUAACACGUGGGAACAUGCCCUUCGGUUCGGAACAACGUCUGGAAACGGACGCUAAUACCGGAUACGCCCUUUUGGGGAAAGGCUCGCUGCCGAAGGAUUGGCCCGCGUUCGAUUAGCUUGAUGGUGCGGGUAACGGCCCACCAUGGCGACGAUCGAUAGCUGGGCUGAGAGGAUGGCCAGCCACAUUGGGACUGAGACACGGCCCAAACUCCUACGGGAGGCAGCAGUGGGGAAUAUUGGACAAUGGGCGCAAGCCUGAUCCAGCCAUGCCGCGUGAGUGAUGACGGCCUUAGGGUUGUAAAGCUCUUUCGCACGCGACGAUAAUGACGGUAGCGUGAGAAGAAGCCCCGGCUAACUUCGUGCCAGCCGCCGCAGUAA
rnacentral:rRNA from 1 species